AUGGCGCAGAGGGCGGCGGGCGCGCUUCUCCGGCGGUCCCUCGGGCUCGCGCCGCCGACGGCCCCCAGGGCCCUGAGCACCAGCACCGCGGCGCCGGCCGCGGCGGCGGAGGGAGAGGCCGCGGCUGCCAAGGCGAAGAGGAGCAAGAAGAAGAACCUGUUCGACGUGGUGCAGUUCCUGCCGGACUGGGGCGUCGGCUACAAGGUCGCCAAGACCACCUGGCGCGACGUCUCCUACCAGAUCACCAAGAUCAACCUCUACAAGGACGGCCGCCACGGGAAGGCGUGGGGGAUUCGGCACAAGGCCGGUGUGCAAGUGGCCGACGCUCCGAUAAAACUCAGCGGAGUGAACAAGCGUGGUUGGAAGUACAUAAAGGCAUCGCAGAAGACGGUGCAGGAUACCCCCGCAGCAGAGACGCCAGCCGCUGCCACUGCCACCGCCACUGCUUAA
rnacentral:rRNA from 1 species